rnacentral:lncRNA from 1 species
GUGCAUCUGCACCUGCUUCUCGAUCGAUCUCAUGAGCUAGAUUCUGCAAUAAAUCAUCCAAGAUAGAAAAGUCCUUAUGCUGGGGGUUCCUUAUUGGUGAACUCUCUGAUGCCUAAAUCAAUUUCCUAUGGACGUAAAUAGAAGAAGUUUGAGCUUUUAGGAAGAAAGUAGUGAGGUGUGGAGUAGAGUGUGAGGUGGGAUGGAGAUGAGUUGGUGGAAUAGAGUACGAAGAUCCGGUGGAUGUUGUAUGGAGUAGGGAAGUAUUCCCAUGGAGUUAGAUUUCACUUAGAGUUCUAAAGAAGAGAGGGAUCCCGCUUGUAUGAAAUUAGUCUCCGAAAGAGGGCAUAUGAAGUAACUCUUCACUUAUCUAGAGGAUCUCGAAAAGUUUAGAUUUUAUAAACGAAGAUGGAUACCUAUCAUCUGGGAGGAUGCAUGUCAUUUUCUCUCUCGAGGGCCACGGAGGCACGUUCAAGUUGACAAGGGAUAAUAACUUACAUAUUAUGGAGUUUGUUGAGAUUACGAAUCUUGAUAAGUGGAGGAGCGGAGCGGACGAGCAACCUUCAUUUAUCAUCCAGCAAGUAGAAGGUUUUGAAACUUUUUCGACACGAUCAUGGAAGUAUGGGCAACAGCUACUCAACGACAAUGCUGAUACUGCUUAACAGGGACACGUGAAGGGCUACCAUUGGAUUGCCAGCACCAUGGUAGAUAGAGUAUUUCGAAUGUAUCAGUAUGAAUGGGGCUUAAGGUCACAAUAUGUUGUACUGAACUCAAUAUUAAUGAUGGUGUUAAGUUUCCUUCUGCUAACCUUCUUCAUUCC